rnacentral:lncRNA from 1 species
UUCAGGCUCAGAAUCCUUUGAUUUUUCCCUGUGGUGUGGCCUUUAGCUAGGAGCAGGGUCACGAGUCACCUCCCUGGAGGCCCCUGCCAUGCCUGCUCAGGGAGAGGGUGGGAAGGGGUGUCUGCCUCUUCCUGUGGACCCCGACACAAGCCAUCUGGCCUCCUGGCGCCUGAGACAACUGGGAAUAAGACACCUUCCCUUGCAGAGCUGCUGGCCAAGGGCUAAGCCAGCAGCGCAGUGACUGCCCCAUGGGAAGCUGUCCACAUACCAAGCACUUUUCCUCACUCCCUCCACAGAUUCGCCUACACCCUGAUGGUGCUUGAGUUUCAGAGCUCACAGGCCUCCUCUUCCCCAGGUCGGCCUCCUGCAGCUGCUCCAGGUAAAAGAGUAUGUGGGACAAAACGACCUGAGAACAUGAGGCUCAGCCCCUGCUUCUCUGUCGGAAGGAGUGGUGGAGACGAUCAGACCAUUUCACUUACGUCACCAACGACAAAAUAUGUUUUCCUCUGCCCUCAACCACGCGGUCAGCACAAGAGUUCUGCUCUGACUCCAGGGCAGAGUCUGUCGAGCUCAUCUCCAAACAAAUUAGAGAAGAUGAGAUGUGGUGAUGGAUGAGAAGGUGGCUAAGAGAGACUCCAGCCAACACAGCUUUUCAUGAUUGGGAUCAAACUCAAUCUGCAGGAGAGCUCCAGAGAGAACAAGGCCCCGUCCCUCAUUUCACCCCCACACAAAGCUGAGGCCAGAGAACGUCAAGACUUACCCAAGGUCACACAGCCACAUAGCAGCAGAGCUGGGACUGGGCUCUAGCUGUCCUACUGCACAGGCCCCUUCUUUCCCACUCAGGCCGACU